rnacentral:hammerhead_ribozyme from 1 species
AUCCAGCUGAUGAGUCCUGAAUAGGACGAAAUGCGCAUCCUGAAU